rnacentral:rRNA from 1 species
GGAGGCGAACCCGCUGAACUGAAACAUCUAAGUAGGCGGAGGAGAAGAAAACAAAAGUGAUUCCGUAAGUAGUGGCGAGCGAACGCGGAAUAGCCCAAACCAAAGUUGUUACGGCAAUUUUGGGGUUGUAGGACCACGAGAUUUCUUGCGGAUUUAAUAAGAAUUACCUGGAAAGGUAAACCGAAGAGGGUGAUAGUCCCGUAUUGGUAAGAGAAGAUAAGAAUAGUGGUAUCCUGAGUAGGUCGGGGCACGUGAAACCUUGAUUGAAACUGGCGGGACCAUCCGCUAAGGCUAAAUACUCCUGAGAGACCGAUAGUGAACCAGUACCGUGAGGGAAAGGUGAAAAGAACCGUGAAUAACGGAGUGAAACAGAUCCUGAAACCAUACGCCUACAAGCGGUCGGAGCCCUUUUGUGGGGUGACGGCGUGCCUUUUGCAUAAUGAGCCUACGAGUUACCGUUGCUGGCAAGGAUAAGUGAUUAAGUCAUGGAUCCGUAGCGAAAGCGAGUCUUAAUAGGGCGCUUAAGUCAGUAGUGGUAGACGCGAAACCGUGUGAUCUACCCAUGGGCAGGUUGAAGUUUAGGUAACACUAAAUGGAGGACCGAACCGUUUAACGCUGAAAAGUUUUCGGAUGACCUGUGGGUAGGGGUGAAAGGCCAAUCAAACUCGGAAAUAGCUCGUACUCCCCGAAAUGCAUUUAGGUGCAGCGAUGAUCGAUAGUUACUUAGAGGUAGAGCUACUGAUUGGAUGCGGGGGCUUCACCGCCUACCAAUUCCUGACAAACUCCGAAUGCUAAGUAAUGAUAAUCAUCAGUGAGGGCAUGGGUGCUAAGGUCCAUGUCCGAGAGGGAAAGAACCCAGACCAUCAGCUAAGGUCCCCAAAUGUAUGCUAAGUUGAAAAAACGCGGUUUGAUUGCCCAGACAGCUAGGAUGUUGGCUUGGAAGCAGCCAUUCAUUUAAAGAGUGCGUAACAGCUCACUAGUCGAGCGAUCGAGCAUGGAUAAUAAUCGGGCAUAAGUAUACUACCGAAGCUAUGGAUUUGCGCAUUUAGUUGCGUGAGUGGUAGGGGAGCAUUCUAACGGCGCAGAAGGUGAUUUGUGAGAAUUGCUGGAGCUUUUAGAAAAGAAAAUGUAGGCAUAAGUAACGAUAAGGGGUGCGAGAAACACCCCCGCCGUAAGACUAAGGUUUCCUCAGCUAUGCUAAUCAGCUGAGGGUUAGUCGGGACCUAAGGCACACCCGAAGGGGGACGUCGAUGGCCAACGGGUUAAUAUUCCCGUACUACUGAUAAUUGUGAUGGAGUGACACAGUGAUGAAAGCACCGCGAACUGACGGAAUAGUUCGUUGAAGCACGUACCUAUAGGUUUGAUAGUAAAAUGCGUCAGACUUGGAGAAAUGCGAUAGUACUUUGAGUCUUCGGACAACGAGAUAGUGUGCCUAAGGGCUGUCAAGAAAAGCUUCUAAACUUAGAUUAUUAGUACCCGUACCGUAAACCGACACAGGUAGUCGAGGAGAGUAUCCUAAGGCGCUCGAGAGAUUCAUGGCUAAGGAACUAGGCAAAAUAGACCUGUAACUUCGGGAGAAAGGUCGCCAGCGCAAGCUGGCCGCAGUGAAAAGGUCCAGGCGACUGUUUAUCAAAAACACAGGGCUCUGCAAAAUCGUAAGAUGACGUAUAGGGCCUGACACCUGCCCGGUGCUGGAAGGUUAAGAGGAGAUGUUAUCUUCGGAGAAGCAUUGAAUUGAAGCCCCAGUAAACGGCGGCCGUAACUAUAACGGUCCUAAGGUAGCGAAAUUCCUUGUCGG